rnacentral:rRNA from 1 species
AUCUUCCGCAAUGGACGAAAGUCUGACGGAGCAACGCCGCGUGAGUGAUGAAGGCNUUNNGGUCGNANAACUCUGUUGUUAGGNNNNNACAAGUACGAGAGUAACUGCUCGUACCUUGACGGUACCUAACCAGAAAGCCCCGGCUAACUACGUGCCAGCAGCCGCGGUAAUACGUAGGUGGCAAGCGUUAUCCGGAAUUAUUGGGCGUAAAGCGCGCGCAGGCGGUUUCUUAAGUCUGAUGUGAAAGCCCACGGCUCAACCGUGGAGGGUCAUUGGAAACUGGGGAACUUGAGUGCAGAAGAGAAAAGCGGAAUUCCAAGUGUAGCGGUGAAAUGCGUAGAGAUGUGGAGGAACACCAGUGGCGAAGGCGGCUUUUUGGUCUGUAACUGACGCUGAGGCGCGAAAGCGUGGGGAGCAAACAGG